rnacentral:rRNA from 1 species
GGAUGAACGCUAGCGGCAGGCCUAACACAUGCAAGUCGAGGGGUAACAGGAGAAGCUUGCUUUUCGCUGACGACCGGCGCACGGGUGCGUAACGCGUAUACAAUCUACCUUUUACUGGGGGAUAGCCUUUGGAAACGAAGAUUAAUACCCCAUAGUAUGUUGACUUCGCAUGGAGACAAUAUUAAAGAUUACGGUAAAAGAUGAGUAUGCGUCCUAUUAGCUAGAUGGUGUGGUAACGGCACACCAUGGCAACGAUAGGUAGGGGCCCUGAGAGGGGGAUCCCCCACACUGGUACUGAGACACGGACCAGACUCCUACGGGAGGCAGCAGUGAGGAAUAUUGGACAAUGGAGGGAACUCUGAUCCAGCCAUGCCGCGUGCAGGAAGACUGCCCUAGGGUUGUAAACUGCUUUUAUACAGGAAGAAACACCUGUACGGUACUGUAAGAAUAAGGAUCGGCUAACUCCGUGCCAGCAGCCGCGGUAAUACGGAGGAUCCAAGCGUUAUCCGGAAUCAUUGGGUUUAAAGGGUCCGUAGGUGGAUAAUUAAGUCAGAGGUGAAAUCCUGCAGCUCAACUGUAGAAUUGCCUUUGAUACUGGUUAUCUUGAAUUAUUAUGAAGUAGUUAGAAUAUGUAGUGUAGCGGUGAAAUGCAUAGAUAUUACAUAGAAUACCAAUUGCGAAGGCAGAUUACUAAUAAUAUACUGACACUGAUGGACGAAAGCGUGGGGAGCGAACGGGAUUAGAUACCCCGGUAGUCCACGCCGUAAACGAUGGAUACUAGCUGUUCGGAUUUAUCUGAGUGGCUAAGCGAAAGUGAUAAGUAUCCCACCUGGGGAGUACGUUCGCAAGAAUGAAACUCAAAGGAAUUGACGGGGGCCCGCACAAGCGGUGGAGCAUGUGGUUUAAUUCGAUGAUACGCGAGGAACCUUACCAGGGCUUAAUGUAAGUUGCAUGAUUUAGAGUUACGUAUUUCUUCGGACUACUUACAAGGUGCUGCAUGGUUGUCGUCAGCUCGUGUCGUGAGGUGUCAGGAUAAGUCUCAUAACGAGCGCGCCCCUCGUAGUUAGUUGCCAUCGAGUAAGGUCGGGAACUCUAACAAGACUG